rnacentral:lncRNA from 1 species
UGGAUUCAUAUUUCAUCCAUUUUGGAGUUCAAAUCAUAUUACCUUUGGUUCAAACCAUAACUUUAUCACAACUUCUUUCAUCUCCCAUCACUAGUUCUAUGAACUACGGAGCUAUGAAUUCCUUAUUGCACUAUAAGGAUACAUAGGCAUGAGGGCCCCAAUCCUCACCGAGCACUUUAUCUAUUUCUUUUCUUUUCCCUUAUUAUU